rnacentral:rRNA from 1 species
UACGGGGGGGGCAAGCGUUGUUCGGAAUUACUGGGCGUAAAGGGCGCGUAGGUGGCCAACUAAGUCAGACGUGAAAUCCCCCGGCUUAACCGGGGAACUGCGUCUGAUACUGGAUGGCUAGAGUGUGGGAGAGGGAUGCGGAAUUCCAGGUGUAGCGGUGAAAUGCGUAGAUAUCGAGAGGAACACCUGCGGCGAAGGCGGGUAGCUGGGCCGACACUGACGCUGAGGCGCGAAAGCCAGGGGAGCGAACGGG